rnacentral:lncRNA from 1 species
ACGGUUAUAUUCCCAUGAUAUUAUAAUUUUUACUUGUUGAAGUGAGAGUUCAUGUGCAAGCUAUAAAGUAUAGGCUUGAUGUGUAAGUAUCUGCAUCUUCGUUUGACUAAAUGUAACCAAUUGUCUGUGUGUCCUUAAUAAUUGGUAAAAAAAGAGAAUGAUUUUUCGGAAUAAAAUUAUCAUCUUUUUGCAAAUAUGAAACAUUGAUACCACUGAGUCAUUUCUUAGAAAGUGGAUACGUAGUUAGUGUUUUAUAACAAAGGCAGAUAGAGCAAAGUAAAUAACGUAAAACACGUUAGUGUUAACCUUUUGGUUUUGUUACCAUGUUCAAGUCGUACACGUUUGUACCCACUUCGUUUCAGGGAUGCUAAAUGUGCUAUGCUACUUAUUUAUUAUAAGCACAUUUAUUCACUGUACAGUUAAGACAUCAUACAUGUAUUACGUCAAAUUUUAUCAUUAUUUACAUGAACUGUAUUUGUUUGGAUCAUGAAAUGUGUAAAUUUUGUCAAAACGUAAAAAAACCAUUUAAAUGAUGGUCUAGGAAACAUAGCAAUUUCCAGAAGAUGACAAUUUUUUUUAAAAAAACAACAUUGAUGCCUAAGCAUUAUUCAAAUAGAAAAUACUGAUUCCAGAUACACAUUUUGUGACCACCUUUGGAGUUGCUAAUACCCGGAGCUUCUUGGUGGCAAGACCACUUGCAGUUGUUCCUGCGGAUGAUGAUUCCUCAUGGUCAAUAACACCAACGCCAUCCUUGGUAAGGACUGAGAUGGUCCCAGGCAUGUCAUCUCUAUCAUUAUCGUCACCAUCCUGCUUGAACAGAAACAUAUACCAUUAUUUUUAUUCUAAGUAAGGAUCAGAAGGGAGUAUACGUUGCAACUUACAGUAACAAAGUUAGGAAGGAAGAUUAUAAGAGGAUACACAUGGAAGUUGUGUGUUGGUGUUGGCUAGGCCAAGCAGAUAAUCGAGAUCGCGGAACCUGAAACGCUCAACCAGAAUUGAGAAACCGGUUCGGUAAAGGCAUCAAAUUUGGCUGAGUAACUGAACAGAAUAGUCAAAAGAGAGUCGGUUCUGAUUGGAUAGAACCACAUCAAAUCCGCUGAGUGUGAACAUUGAACCAGCCUUGAGAUGGUGCCUGAAUGUGCAGAGCCGGAUACAUUCACCGUGGCUGGCAUGAGAGUGGUCUGAAACAAAUGUGAAAAAUAAAGCAUCACCAACAGACAUUAUCAAAAUAAUGCAUUGUGAAUGAGUUCGAAAUUUAUGAAUGUGAAGGCUGGAAAACUUUUGAAAAACUAUGAACAUGAGAUUGAAUAUCGGAGAACCUUGGCAUAUCUAAAUUUAGCAGUUCGAAAGUUAUGAAUGUCUUAGGCUGUAAAACUUAUGGCGUCGUGCUUUAUGGCGUCGAGGGAAUUAAGAAGACGAAACGAUGAAACCGCAACAUGACAUAGAUGCUCCUCGUGACAAUUCGUCUGAUUCGACAUGCUAAAUCUCCAUUGCUGGUUAAGGUCGCCGUAGAUCGAAAAAGAUGAUGGAACCCUAAUUUCAUAUGACGGCUCUCGUGAAGGCUUCCGUAUGUUACUGGGGCUGUGUGAUUAAAAACCCAGUAGAAGCCCAUAUUAAAUCGUAUACAAUACAGCGCAAAGAAUCUCCGUGAUAUCAAUACCGUGCGUUUUGGUGUAGGGGACAGGUGUCGUAUUGAGGGCGAUCGACUUAGUGACGUGACUCUUUUCCCACCAGUACUAAAGCUGGACUAAUUGUUGAAAUCCUUCACUUAUAGACAUUUAUAUGCUCCCGUUCAGUUACAUAGUAGCACAACUUUGUCUCAUUUGGCUUGCUACGCCACGGAAAUGUCAUGUACUAUUUCUAUAUAUUGAGAGAAAGGCCUCAUUUAGUAUUUGGAUGAUCUAUUUAUAAGCUAAAUAUGGAAAUAUGCGGAGAGAAUCAUCUGAGGAAAAAUUGUAAACUUGAAAAGGGUUUGUAAUGUAACUAAAACAACCUUAUUGAUGCAUAAGCACUAUGUAAAUAGCAAAUACGAUCUCCAAAGAGGAAACAUAAUAUAAAAUGCAUAGAGUAUAUUUGAAGGAAAACAAUAACCAUCAAUUAAUGGACUAAUAUGAAGUAGAUAGUAACUUAUUGAAUUUGAUAGUUGCCAUGACACGUUUCUUCAUAUGAUAGAAUGAUAGUUAUUGGUUAUUUUAUACGGUUAUAUUUCCAUGAUAUUAUAAUUUUUACUUGUUGAAGUGAGAGUUCAUGUGCAAGCUAUAAAGUAUAGGCUUGAUGUGUAAGUAUCUUCAUCUUCGUUUGACUAAAUGUAACCAAUUGUCUAUGUGUCCUUAAUAAUUGGUAAAAAAAAGAGAAUGAUUUUUCGGAGUAAAAUUAUCAUCUUUUUGCAAAUAUGAAACAUUGAUACCACUGAGUCAUUUCUUCGAAAGUGGAUACGUAGUUAGUGUUUUAUAACAAAGGUAGAUAGAGCAAAGUAAAUAACAUAAAACACGUUAGUGUUAACCUUUUGGUUUUGUUACCAUGUUCAAGUCGUACACGUUUGUACCCACUUUGUUUCAGGGAUGUUAAAUGUGCUAUGCUACUUAUUUAUUAUAAGCACAUUUAUUCACUGUACAGUUAAGACAUCAUACAUGUAUUACGUCAAAUUUUAUCAUUAUUUACAUGAACGGUAUUUGUUUGGAUCAUGAAAUUAUGCGCUGAGCAGUAUACCUAUCUUCAGCAGCUUAAAGAAAUGUG